CUACGGGCGGCUGCAGUGAGGAAUAUUGCACAAUGGGGGGAACCCUGAUGCAGCAACGCCGCGUGGAGGAUGACGCAUUUCGGUGUGUAAACUCCUUUUAUAUGUCAAGAAAAUGUCGGUAGCAUAUGAAUAAGCACCGGCUAACUCCGUGCCAGCAGCCGCGGUAAUACGGAGGGCGCAAGCGUUACUCGGAAUCACUGGGCGUAAAGGACGCGUAGGCGGGUUGAAAAGUCAGGUGUGAAAGCCUACAGCUUAACUGUAGAACUGCACUUGAAACUCUCAAUCUAGAGUAUGGGAGGGGCAGAUGGAAUUAGUGGUGUAGGGGUAAAAUCCGUAGAUAUCACUAGGAAUACCUAAAGCGAAGGCGAUCUGCUGGAACAUUACUGACGCUAAGGCGUGAAAGCGUGGGGAGCAAACAGGAUUAGAUACCCUAGUAGUC
rnacentral:rRNA from 1 species